CACCCCUUCCUACACCUCAUUUAAAGGUUGGCAGUGGGGGUGAGGGUGUCUUGCUAGAGAUCCCUGUAUACCUGAGUUCUUCCAAAGAAGAAACUACAGGCAAGAAGACUCCAGUAAAGACAAGGCACAUAGUCACAAAUAAAGGAAGACUUCAACAGUAACAGCAAAAUUAAAGUUCUGUGCCCUCAUGGUGGCUCCUUUUUGGCUGGUGUCCUCACUAACAAAUCAGACUUCUCUUGGCUGUAAAAGCUCCUGGGGGCUUGCAUGAACACUUGGCUGUUUUGCGGUGAUGUGGAAAGCAAAAUGCACUCCUCUGAAAUACCAAGUUGGACCUGGUGUGCUAGAAGAACGAUGCUGAUACUGCUAGCUGGAUAUCUAUGCUAAUAAAAAUGAUACUGUCAGAUUCAUCAGCUGUCUGUAGUUGAACCUGAUGGUUGCUGGCUGGCUCGGAUGAUUCAGAGGAUGCAAAAACCGCAAUUGACUAAAGAUACUUAAUUGUAAUGAGGGAAGUGUUACUUCGUUAUGUAGAAGAUGACAACAUCGCUUCAGAUCUGGAUGUAGACGGCCUUGGAGUUGUUGACAGUUGAAUCAAAAGACUCCAUUGCUCUUCAGCUGUUCCCCUUCUACAUUGUUUGUAGAGAAGUGUACCCAGUUCACCUAGCUUGUGUUUUGAGGAUGGCUUUUAACUACGAGCACCUACAACACCAGCCUUUCUACUAUCUGGGCUGGAGAAGCUGGAGGCUUGGUUUCCAGAAAGAAGAGCUGGUGCUGAGAGGUGGGUUCCAGGGAGAAAAUGAGGCCCAAAGAGAACAUGAAGAUCCUGACUGAAGGACAGGUCUGGGAAGUGAGGGAAGAUUCUGGAGGUGAGGUAAAUGCAUGGAGACCAAUGACAGGAGAUGCCCAGCACCAAAUAAUCGUGCCUGAGACCAGAAACUGCAAGCAGAAUCGUAGCAGAAUCCAGCAGGAGUUUCUGCCCAACCUGCUCUAGCCAACGACCUGCCUGCAGGGAAAUCAAGACCUUGGGAACAUCAUGGAGAAGCUGUAACAGCCGUAGAGAAUAAGCAUAGAAAAAAACAAACCCUGCUGAAGUUUUUGCAGAGGUGAUAUUCUUUGUUUUCCCAAGGAUUCUGGAUGAACCUUAAGGCGAGCUAUGAGAUGGAGAAGGAAGCAGAGAGGGGGAAGUGCUGCUGUUAAUUUGGCAUUCAUCUUAAGGAGCUGAAUGGCAGCCAGAAGUAGUGCAGAUGGCAUCUCAAUUCCCUCUUCUUUUGAAGAAAAUGUAUUUUUAAUACAGUAACUUUUUGUUUCCAUUAAGACAUUUUUAGCUGUGGAAUAAGGACAGUUAAAGGCAGUAGUUAAACCACCAGCUUUUAGAUGACAUUUCUGAAAGCAGUUUAUUUCCCAGAGUGAUAGAUGUAUGAAACAUAUGGUUUCUUCAAAGCCACAACCAAGGAGCUGGAUAGUAAGGAUGCAGGGGGUUAGUUGGCAGACACCCUAGGAAGGAAGCGAAAGGACACAGAACUGGUGAUAGUGUUGCUUUUGCAUAUGGGUAUGGUGGUGACAGGAGGAUUUGUCUGUAUUAAAUUGUAUUUUACACUGUUCUCGUCAAAUCCAAACUCUAAGCUUGUCCAGACAAACUGCGUUCCAGACACCUGCUCAGCUUUCUGACACCUGAUUAAAUGCAUAUCUGACUGCCAUGAGGACUGCAAAUCAGCAUGAGGUGAAAGCAUACCAUGCUUUAGGUGUGGUAUAUUAUAAACUAUUGACUCUUUCAGUAAGGGAUCUUUCGGAGAGUAAUUUUUUCAUGAACCUAUUUGUGAAACGUUCUUGUAGGUGAACUCCAAAGCAAAGAUAAAAUUUGAACUAAAAUACACAGACCUAACAAGCUGCCAUGUGCAUUUGCCCAUCAAUAAGGUAAUGCUCAUAUUUUGGUAAUUCAUUGCAUCUCUACUGUGAUCUUCAGACUUCCUAAUAUACUGAAAACAUUCCCAUAGGGCAUGAUUGGCACUGCCGUAGUACAACUCAUGAUUGAUAGCAGUAUGAAUCAGGAAGUGCCACCUGAAGGACUUUAUAAGGGAAGCUAUUUCUUGAAAUCAACAGUUAGUGUUUUGUUGUUAUUUAUUAGUGUAUUUCAACAACUAAAGAAUCUAGACCUUGAUUUUGGCAGAAAAGCAUUAAGUUGAUAUUAGAACCAUUGCUUCUGCUUCCUCUUGAGAGACAAAAUUCUGAGAUUUCACCAUUAAAUAAGUGAAAGAAUGACUAAAAGGACAUGACAACUGAAAAGGUUAGUUAUUCAAACAUUUUAUUCCCCAAACUAUUAAAUAAAUAACUAGAUAAAUAAAUGAAAGUAUUUGAUAAUGGAGAAGGUUUAUUACUCAAACAUCUUUCCAGAUCUAUCUGUGACCUCUAAAAUUAGGAACCUAUAACUGGUGCUGCUACCUGCAGUGGGUCCUACCCUGGCCUGCUGGCCUAUCCCUUGUACGUGCCUGGCUGCUGCAGGUGCCACUGGGGCAGGACGGGGCUGCCAGCAUGCUGCUGCCAGCAUGGCCGCUGCAAGGGAUGAGGUGAGGAGGGCCUGAGGAGCUGCCGCUCUGCUGCCUGUGGGUGCCGGGGAAGCUCCUGCUGUGCAGGGCUGGUUAUAAACCUGGGUCCCAUGUGAGGUGGAGGAGGAGAAGUGGCAGCCGAGGUCUGGCUGCUGCUUGGUGGCAGCAGGGAAGGGUCCAGAGGCUGGCAUGUUUCCCUCUGUGCUGCUGCAGUAGGGACUGGCAGGGCUGAAGCAGCACUGCUUUGGGUCGUGGCUUUCUGAGGGUGCUUGAGUGGUGGGGGCCCCACAGUUGCUGCUGUCUCUGUGCCUUCUUCCUUUGGCACUGCCAGCAGGCUCCUACCUUGCCCAGCAGCUGCUCACUGCAUGGGCUGGGCACCUGGUCUGCUCCUCAGGUGGCUCUCAUUUAGGUCUCCCUGCAGGGCAGAGGCAGUCACCUCUCAUCUCCUUAGGGCAACUCCUUGUUGGCAGUGUUCAGGCAGCUGUGGAUCAUCGCUCUUGAAACAUGGGUGAGAGUAGAAGAGUGACUGAAAAAUGCGAAGGAGGAGAGUUAGUUGCUGUCUGUUUGGAACUGGAAGACAGCAAAAUACAGGAAGUAAGACUUAAUAGCUGAAGGCAAAUAUGGGUAGUAAAAAGGUCUAUUGGUCAGAUUAAUCCCAGAGCUUGGGUUAAGUCAAACAAGAUAUGUUGCAAAUAUAUUGUAAUAAAUAGACUCAUCAUAUCCUGAUUUAUCUUUCUUUUCCGUGGGUUCAAAUUGGGAUAUAACUCAAAUCUAUUUUAUCUAUAUUUCUACUAUUCAGCAGUGCAACCUCUAAAAUACCCAGAAGCAGUCAGAGAAAGAUAUAAAGAUCAGAACACUGACUGACGUCCUCCUCUC
ensembl:lncRNA